rnacentral:rRNA from 1 species
GGAAUUCCCAGAAGGGGAAAAAAAGCUGAAAAAUGGCAGGAGAAAUGGCGAUGGAGAAGCGUCGGCGUCGCCACGCGCCACCGGCGGUCGCCUCCUCCUCUUCGACCCCCGCCGAGGCCUCCGGCCACACGCCGUCCCCUCCGCCGGACCUCCUCCCGGACAUCGCCCGUCGCCUCACCUCCCUGGAGGACUUCUUUUCCCUCCGCGCCUCCUGCCGCGACUACCGCGCCCUCCUCCCGGCGUCCCGCCCCCACCUCGCCUCCCAGGCCCCGCUCCUCCUCGUCUCCCUCUACCCCUCCUUCGCCGAGGCGCUCUUCCACCCCCGCCUCCGCCGCCUCCACCGCUUCCGCCUCCCCUGGGGCCACCACCUGCCCCCCUCCCGCCUCACCCUCCUCUACGCCCACGGCUUCCUCGUCACCGCCACCACCGCGGCCGCCCAGUACCCCCCCAGGCUCCUCCUCCUCCACCUCUUCACCGGCGACCAGCAGCGCCUCCCCAGGGUCCCCACCCCCUUCUCCCGGGCCAUCCUCUCUGCCGACCUCCUCGUCGUGCUCUUCCUGCCCGGCAGGUCCACCGUCCAGCACUGCCGCCCCGGGGAUGCGCUCUGGCGUGUGGCCACCGCCGAUGCGCCCCACGUGUUCGACGAUUUGAUCUUCGUUGACGCCACCCUCUACGCCCUGGUUGGCCUCCGUCUUGCCACGCUGGAGCUGUCCGAGAGUUCGCUGGAACUGUCAUUCCUUGGAGGAGAGUAUGAUGAGGAGAACAGGCCGGUGGGGGAGCGGUUCAUGCUCGGGGAGUGCGACGGCGAGGUGUUGCUCAUCAGCGAGGAGCAGGCAGAGACGGUUGUGUACCGUGUUUUCCGGUGGGUGCCUGGGGAGGGAAAGUGGGUGAUGAUAACAAGCUUGGGUGGGCGAACAUUGUUUCUUGGGUUCCACGGAUUCGCGGCUUGCAUCGGCCCAGGUUUCCCUGAGAUUCGAGGUGAUUGCAUAUAUGCUGCUGGGCGACGCUUGGGUGAAUGGUUCGAGUAUUCCUUGGUUAAUGGAACUUGUGAUGUCUGCUAUGCUGAAUAUGUGGGCGCACCACCCCUGAACAGCGAUUCACCUCUCAGACCUCCGGUUUGGGUCUUCCCCAGCUUGAUGCCAGCCUGAGAAAGGUUACCCAGAUCAUUGAAGAACAGUGAUGCUGACAUGAAGUAAGAAAAGGCCGUUGAUCCUCACCAGGUGCGUGCAAAUGGAUUGAUUGCUGCUGAAUGUGAACCAUGUGCGGGGCUACUGAAGGUCUUCCCGGAUGCUGAUAAACCUGGUCAUCUUCUCAGUUGUCGAUCUUUCCUUUGCGUUUCCUUGUUUUACCUUGCUGUUGACAUCUGGUGCUAUAGAGCAACAAACAUCAGAGUAUCAAAGAGAGGCAUGGUAACACAGCUGGACCUUCCCUGCAAAUUCCUGUGACAAUUCAUAUAUGUUGUUCAUGUUGUGUGUCUCCUGUCAAAGUUUCUUAUGCUACGAGAACAUGUAUGUUUUUCUGAUUCUUGUGGGAAUUUCGAGCCGUUUCUGUCGAAAUUUCAACGGUCCAAACAGGGCUGCAUAAUGCAAAUGCAGUAUCUACACUAACGUUGUACCUAUAUUGCUGUAUUUUCAUUUUUUUUUGAAACAAAACAUUCUUCCAUGUUUUAAUUUGUUUUUGAAAUAAAACGUUCUUCCAGAGGCCGUUGCCUAGGGGCAGUGGGGCUCUCUGUCUCUUUUUGUGUGGGUCCCACGUGCAGUGGCGGCAGGCGUUGAGUGGAACUCAUCGCCGUCCUCGUCCAAUCCAAACCGCAGCAGAGCUGAGCACGCUGUAGCCGAGAAACGCACACCACGGCACGAUGCCACACGCCGCGUUCCUCCGCCCGCUCAUCCCGCCGCCUCUCGUCCCCGCGAGGCCGCUCGCCGCGCGAUGCCGCCACCUUCGCGGCGUCCGCGGGAGUUGCGCCCCCGGCGAGGGCGCGGGCGAGGGCGCCCCCGGCGCGGAGUGGCUGAGCUCGGCGGUCGGGGAGAAGGUGGACGAGCUGCUGCGGCGCGAGGAGAACCGGGCGCUGCUGGACGGGGUCGAGGCCGCCGAGCGCCGCGUGGAGCUCGCCCGCGCCAAGCUCGCGGACAUCGAGCGCCAGGAGGCCGCCGCCCGCCUCGCCACCGAGGAGGUCCGCCGCCUCGAGAGGCGCCGGGACGAGAUUGCAGAGUCACAGCGGGAAUUGCUACAGGCAAGAGAAAUGAUUGAUGAAGCACAGUGUACCUUGACUUCUAGCCUUGAGGAUCGAAGCUUUUGGAAUACGUCAGGUGGAGAAGAUAUCGAUAAAGAUAGUGAGAGGCUUGAAUCUGCAAAAGCUGCAGCAAUUUCCUCUAUAAUCGGUGUUCUGGCUAGUUUGCCCAUAUCUUCCUAUGAAGUCCACAGUUUGCCCCAACUGUUUUUUCGAUCAUCGGUUGUUCUCAUAAGUUGUGCAUUGUUUGGAGUCACAUUCCGGUAUGCCGUUAGAAGAGAUCUGGAUAAUAUCCAGCUUAAAACAGGAGCUGCUGCCGCAUUCGCUGUUGUUAGAGGUCUUGCUUUGUUGGAAUCUGGGAGGCCCUUUGAGUUGAGCACUGAUGCCUUAAUGUCACUUGCUCUUGAUGGUGCAGUUAGUGUUGUUGGGAGCAUUUUUAUAUUUCUGUCUUCUGCUAUUGCACUGGACUAUUGUUUUAAGAUGGGAUUUUUGAGCCCAUUCCCUGCAAGGAAACAAUAGGUUCUGUGAAUAAUCAGGAAUGUCAACACAUAUAUUGGCUACUGCAUUGUAAUAUGUAAUGUUGCUGAUUUCUUAGAUUCAUGAUGGCAAAUAUUUCCCUGUGCAACCACCGUUUCCUCAAGUUUAUCAAAUAAUGCUUUCUGUUUAUUAGCUGUAUCUUGUCUUGUUUCCUCAAAUCUUAUACUCCCUCUGUCCCAAAAUAAGUGUCUUUGAUUUAGUACAACUUUGUUGUGUAAUUGAAUUUUGCUUCCUUUGUAUGUGUUCGUCCUGUAUGAUUGACUGGCCCCGAAUGCAAUUAUUUGUUUCUGUUCCUCCCAUAUCAUUGAUCUUCGUCCCCAGUGGAAUAUUUGAUUUUCUCUUGAAUUAAAUGCUUUCGAUAUCUGUUUCACAGGUUUCGCACCAGCCUUUUGUGAAAUGUUGCACAACCUUGUAUCCGGUUCUCAGUUCAAAAAAGAAAAAGGAAAUCUGGCAUGUCCAUGUAUCAAUCUUCAUCUUUGCGCGGUGGGAAUUCCCUACUCCUUAUGAUCGUCCAAUGUUUUGAAAUACUAAUGAAGAAGCAACAUUGUGUGAUAGCUUUCUUAUUAAUGCUAUGUACAGUACUUGUCUACUACUGUUCUUCCAUCCAUUUCUUGAUUGCUGUUGAGCAACUAGCUGCUGAACUGUGCUGAAAUUUGAUACAGUGUUAUUCUGGUAUUUCAUAAAGCGCCAAGCUGGAUGGAGCCUGGGGACAUGUUAUUGCAUUACAAAUAUGGGUCCGCGUGAAGUUGCUACUGUAGAUAGAUGGAUGUAGAGCGGGCAUUUCUGCUCUUGUGAGAUUUGGCUACAUGUACCUGGGGCUCUCUUCAUCCAUCAAGAUUGUGGACGCAGCCUGUAACUGUUGAAAGUCGGAGCUUGCUGGCAUUGCAAAGAAGACAUGCAUGUCUCAGCUCCAUGCUGAAUGGUGGUGGUGGUGGGGGAUUGUGCAGGGAAAGCGUCUUAUGAACCGUCAUACGGACAAAGGUUGCCUCUCGUGUUCUCUUGUAUUAUUAUUUUGAUGAUAACCUGAUGAACGUGGUAUUAUCUUGCACGUAUGGUUAAUGUUGACCAGUUUUGGAGCAAACAGCCACACGUGGUCUGUCAUGAGAACAUCUUUGGAUGCAUUGUAUGUGGUAAGCUAAUUAGAGAGAGAGAACAAAUGUAAACCACCUAUAUGUUUGCCUCUUGCUAUUGUAUAUACAAUGAUUUUUUUCGAACCUGACCCUUGAAACUUCCUAACGUGUUUCAGCAGAAAAUUUUCC